rnacentral:tRNA from 1 species
GGGGGUAUAGCUCAGUGGUAAAGUACUUGCCUAACAUGCAUGAAGCCAUGGGUUCUAUCCCCA